rnacentral:rRNA from 1 species
UGGGGGAUUUUGGACAAUGGGCGCAAGCCUGAUCCAGCCAUUCCGCGUGCAGGAUGAAGGCCCUCGGGUUGUAAACUGCCUUUGUACGGAACGAAACGGUCCUGGUUAAUACCUGGGGCUAAUGACGGUACCGUAAGAAUAAGCACCGGCUAACUACGUGCCAGCAGCCGCGGUAAUACGUAGGGUGCAAGCGUUAAUCGGAAUUACUGGGCGUAAAGCGUGCGCAGGCGGUGAUGUAAGACAGAUGUGAAAUCCCCGGGCUCAACCUGGGAACUGCAUUUGUGACUGCNUCGCUGGAGUGCGGCAGAGGGGGAUGGAAUUCCGCGUGCAGCAGUGAAAUGCGUAGAUAUGCGGAGGAACACCGAUGGCGAAGGCACUCCCCUGGGCCUGCACUGACGCUCAUGCACGAAAGCGUGGGGAGCAAACAGGAUUAGAUACCCUGGUAGUCCACGCCCUAAACGAUGUCAACUGGUUGUUGGUCCCUCACUGGAUCAGUAACGAAGCUAACGCGUGAAGUUGACCGCCUGGGGAGUACGGCCGCAAGGUUG